UCUUUCUUCCUUAUGCGGCCCUUGGCAACGCCUAAGCUUCUUCCAAAUCACUGAAACGGUUCGAGUUGUGGCUUUUCCGUGUUAACUCAAAUAAAGCAUAAUCUCUCCAUCUUCUUCGCGAUAUUUUCUACCUUUGUGCGAUCUCGAGUUUUUCACACUUUCAAUGGCGAGUCCAAGUGCUGUAUCCGAAGAUUGGAAAUCGGAUGACCUUAAAAUCUUCUCCGUCGGUGUUCUUUAUAGCGGCUACUGGAGCUCAUCUAGGGUAAAAGAUCGUUUCCCUUAUCCUGUGGGCUAUAAAACUGUUCGAGCUCACAAUGGGAGCACAUAUUAUAUGGAGAUUGAAGAAGGUGCUAAAGGACCUUUGUUUCUGUUGGUGUUGUUCAUGUGCAAUGCAGCGCAUAGGAACCAUAUGUACUGGUGGCUACAUAUGAAGAGACGCAUGACCACUUGGAUCAAACACUGACUUUGGAUAUGGUUCAUGGUGUGCAUGUAUUAGCUUUGGAGAAGAAGAAAAGGGGAAUGAUGCAAGAGGUUUUGGUUCAGAAAUUGACGACUUCGUUACCUACUGAUUCAAAGUUUGCUGUUGCUCUUGCGGUUUUUUAUAUCUUGAAGGUUGAUAUGUUUACCUCCGCUCAAGAGAAACUUCAUGAUUGGAUCAGUCGCAACCCACCCAUAACUCCGCUGAGAAGAACCAUGAAGCUACUGUUUACCCCAAGUUAAUGUCUAUGUUCCGAAGAAUAGGGUGACGAGUCUUCAUCAAGGUUAUGGAUUCAUUGAGUUCCUUAGGGAGGAAGACGCUGACUAUGUAAUUAAGGUUCUUUACAUAAUCUCCAUGGAAAGACUAUAUGUGUUACCAAGGCAAAUCAAGAUAAAAAGAGCAUGAUUGUUGGUGCUAACCUUUAGAAACAAACAAUGGUACCACGAAUUGGGUUGUUGUUGAUGUCCGAAGUCUCCAAGAAUCAGAAAGCUUAGCCUGUCGGAGUUGGUCAUGUUGAUAUUAAUGCCAAGGGCGGAUUUUAACAUAGGUCAGCAAAGUCAUUCGACAGCAACUACUACGUUGAGAGAGCAGCACGAUGGUAGUAGUGAAAAGACAAGUUUAAGCCAAGGUUGUAAAGAAAACAGUAAAAGCUCGAGGAAGAGACACCAGCAAAGAAAUAUCACAAGUUUAUUAAACUAACCAAUCUCACUCUCAGUACGUCAGAGAUACCAGCUAUGAUUGAGUGUUUUGUGGAGAUGGUAGCAGAAAGAGUCAUCGUAGAAUCUGUAAUCAGCGGAUGAUAGCAAAACGUGGUCUGAUUUCAAAUAGGCUAUAUGAAAAAGGAUCUAUAGCAAAGCCAUGGAAAAAAGGAUGGCGUUUUCUUCUCUUUCGAAUAGAAGCUGUUACUUAGAAAAGAUGAAAACUCAAGUGUACAUAUAUAUAGAUAUAUUUGACAAAAAAAAGUGUAUAUAAAUAUUCCAGAGUACAUAAAAAAUCACAAGCAUUAAAUAUUACAAGUACAUAAAAGUCAUAUGAAUUCAAGAGUAAAUGUCAUUUGUUUUAAAUGGUUAGAAG